CGACGCGUGAGUAUAAAAUUUCGCAACAAAUCUUUGAACUUUGUUUGCUGGUGCAGCAUUUCAGGCAUUUCAAGUUGUUUUUCCAAGCGAAGAGCUUUCUUCAAGGUAAAUCCAACAUAUUGUGCAACGAGAUCGUAGUUCGUUUGAUAUAUCUUUUUGUAGAUGUCAUUCGUUUCGAUUAUUGAAAGGUAUUUUAAUAAACUUGCAUGUUGAUGUUGACACAUCGUCGAAAGCAUGGUCUGUGCAUGGACGAAUUCAAAACUUGAACUUUAGUAUACACCCACUAAGAGCCUAAAAUUAUAGAUAGCUUAGCCCAAUAUUACGCAAAUUAAAGCUUGUUUGAUAGUGUUUUGAAAGGCGAGCCAAUAUAAUCUCUUUUCGAGUAAUUGUGCUGAAAUUUUUUGCUUAACUUUCUCUAUUUAACAGGUGGGCAGUUGUGCAUUGGGCCGAAAAAUUUGGACACGAAUGCCAAUGCUUUGUGAUGUGAUUAAUUAAACUUGUGCUCAAUCGACGAAAAGUUAAGAUUAUCGCAGAAUUCAGGUAAUAUUUGUGUUAAAUUUCUGUGUAGAUACGAUUUUAAACUGCUGUGUUUUAAUAAUAAAAUUAGCCCGCUAGAAUUAUUUAUACAUUUGGCUUGCAUGUAUAUUUUGACGCGUUCUUAUAUAAAUUGGCCCGAAGUCCAAAUGACAUUUUUAUAGUCCGCACAUAAAAGCACACAAUACGGAAUUAUCUAUAGUGUAAUAGUUGUAAAUUUACUAGACAAUGAAAGAAUUCUUGCAUAUACUUAUUCCCUUAUUUAUAUUGUCUUUGUUGUAUAAAUUCAUAAUUACCCGGGCGGGGGGAAUUGAUAUCUAAUAUUUUGUAAACUUGCUGAUUGCGACAUUUAAGUUUAUAGUAAUUAUAGCUUACGCCCUCUAUUAUGUAAACGAAAUACUUUGAUUUUGUGAAAUACUUUGAAGGCUUUUGAAGUUUCUCAGAAUUUUGUAAACAGCUAGGUAAUUUGUGUGAAUUAAGGGAAGCAGUUGAGUUCAUACAAGAUUUUAAUGAAAUUUAAUGAAGUCAUGGUUUGUCAUUGUGGUUGACUGUUGGCAACCUUGUUUAUAGAUAUGCAUACUUAAAUACUUGUUUGUGAACAGCUGGCCUGUGUUCAUUCAAAUUUGGGAUUUGUUUGAUUAUGUGCAAAGUAUUUCGGAACAAAAGUUGUCAGAACUUCUGUCACAUAUCCUUGGUAAUGACCAACAUAUUAAAAUCCGAAAUUAGGGCGAAAUGCAAAAAUUACUGCACAGACAGGUUUCAGAUUUUUACAAACAAGUUCAUGAUUAUUAAAAACUUAUACAAAAAUGCAUGAAGGUGAUGGCAACAAGGACCACACAGCGAUUUUACGAUGGGGGGGGGGGGGUUUGAGAUGAAGUAAGUUCUUCCUAGGGGGGUCUGGGGGUCCCCCCAGGUAAUGUUGAAAAUUUCAAGCCCAGAAAUUGCAUUUCCAGCUAUUUCCCAAAAUAAUUUUGUUCACAGUAAUCGUGUGCAUAUUGCCUUAUAAUAGGCAGAUAUACUGUAUUUCUGUGAAACACAUGUCUAACUGAAAAAUUUGUGAAGAUUCUUUCCAAUGAUUAUUGUAUUGCAACUGUCAAGUCGAGCAUUACUCUGCUUUGGAAACAUGUAGGCAUGCGACUGCGACACAAAAAUAACCUUGGCAUUUCGAGCGAAGACCCUUUGUUUUAUAAAACUAAUGUGUUUCACCUUUCUGACCUAAUAAUUUUGGUUAAGCCAAUGGCAGUGUCGAGCAAAAAAGAGUAAUAUAUUUGAACCUUGCAUGCAGUGAUAACAUUGCUUGCCAAGGAGAACAUUUAAUAACUUACAAAACUUUGUGCAUGGUUAAAAAAUUAUAAAUAAUUUCUGAAAAACCCUUUCAGGGAGAAAUUUAAUUAAAUAUCUAUCUAAAUAUCUGGUGAUAGUAUAGCCCGCUGAGCAUUCAACUUUUAGUAUUUAUUAUAUAAUUAUAGUGUAAUCCCCUUGCAGCUCCCCUUGGGAAGAGUUAACUUAUUUUAAAUAAAUUAUAAGUGAAAAUUUGAUGAAUAUUUAUAUGUUGCUUAGGAAUACAUUGUUUUGAAAGAAACAUUGUAAUAGUGUAAUUAAGGUAAUUCCGCAGUAGUUGUUCCCGAAAUGAGAAUGUGCUGAAACUUCCCAGGCAUGGAGUUUAUGAUAUACUUAAAGUAAAAUCACACAAAAAAGUCGGGGUCACCGCACUUGUUAAGAAGAUAUGACAAUCACAACAGGGCUCGAAAUAACAUUCCCAACGUUCCCGAUCAUGGUGAUCGGCAAUCAUGACUUUUUGCCAAUCAAAUAAAAAUCUGCCCGAUCAGGAGCACUUGCCCUCAUUUCAGUCCUUGAAAAAAUUCUAAAUAUGGCAGUAAAUACACAUCUGAACAGGAAGUUUAACUUUAUUUCAAAUUCAAGUUUAAAUAUACGACGUUCUUGACUUAUAUACAGCUAUUUCAAAUAAGGUUGUCCUCGAGCAACGCAGAAUAGUCGAAUACGAGCGCGAAAGGGUGCUGGGAAUCGCUAAGAAAUUAAUGUCUAAUAAUUUAUUAGCGAUUCCCAGCAGCCUUUCGCGCUCGUAUUCCACUUUUCCGCUUUGCUCGGGGGACAACCUUAAUUGAAAUAGCUGUAUACAAUACUAAUAGUGCAACUACAUUUAACAUGUAUUAAUAAACUUUAGUUUAUUAUAACACUUCUCAAGUUUUAAUAGUUAUUAUAGUAUUGCAUUUUUUCACACAAAAGCAAGAAACACAGCAGCAUUAUCGAUUAAGAAAUAAAACUUAUUAUUUAUAAUAUUAAAAGAGAAAAUCCUACAAAAAAAAUCCUAUAACAAAGACGUUCGUCGUCAGCGUUUUGGAUUGCAGGAUGUUGAAGAGACGACAAUACUUCAUGCACCAGCAAAUUUGUUUUAUAGUAAAUUAAUUACUUUAGAGCGAGAAUAGUAUAUUGCGGCCUUUCCUGUCGUAUGGCUCGUAUCAACUAAACAAGAGUUUUUCGUGUGUUUUUUAAUGUGUUUUAAAUUACUUUUAUUUCUCUUUUACCGAGUACAGGUAAGCAUGUAUUUCGGACAAUGGUCAAAUAUAUUUCUUGGCAUUCUUGCCGAUCAAGAUGAACGGCAAAGUUGCUUCUUCACCAAUCAAAAACAAUUUCCUGCCAAUCAUUGAUCGUUGAUCGGCCGUUAUUUCGAGCCCUGAUCACAAUAUACCACCUUUACCCCAAUAUGGCGCCAUCUUGACGCUCAUUACGAGUAACAGCAAACUCACAACAGCCCGAUAUUUAUUGACGUUUUUAGCGCGGAUUUUGCUUUAGUAAACCUAUUUUGUAAUUAUUUUUGAAAAAAUAUUGUGUUAUGAGCAAAAUGAAACUACUAACGUGUACAAUUCUGAUCCACAAAUGUCUUUUGCACAUUUCUUUACAAAUCUUUCUUUGGGAACAUGCAUUGAUAAAGCAUUUUUUUUCAAGAUCCAGAUAUGAUUUUUCUUUUAAUUUCGGAUAUGAAAUGUAAAAUACAUUAAAGAACUAAAUUAUCAGUUAAAAAACGGGGGUCACAGACCUUUUUAGGGAAUUGUGGCAUUAAAACGUGAAAUACAAGUAAAUAAAUAUACUACAGACACAGGGUACCCUAGCUAAACGUUUGUAUGCCUUUUUUGAUAAAACAUUGAUUUUAACUUUAUUUAUAUAAGUAAUAAGAUGCGCGCAGUAAAAGUGCGCAAUGCAAAACUGCGGAAUUACCUUAAGGACAAAAUUGGAUAAGUUUGUACAAUCCUAAUUCAUAAAUACACUGAUAUGUACAGUACAUGCAUAUGUCAGGUAGUUGACUUUAGGGGGUACAUUCUAAGCAGACUACCACCUGCACAUCCCCCACAUUUCCAUAAAAUCUGGCCUUGGUGUAGAUAUCGUGAUAUAGCAUGUUAGACGUGCAAGACAUGGUUUUUUACAGUUAUUUCUUGACAGUACUGUACAUCUAUAAACAAAUAAAAGUUAAGAAGUUUCAGACUUUCCUAAUGGGUGAUUCCUGCAGCUAUAGACAAAAUUUUGAAGCAAGAAUAACGAAAUCCAACAGAACAGCCAGAAAGAGCGUCUUAGAAUGAGUAAAACUGCAAAGAUUGGUUGCUAAAUGUUGUAUAAUGAAGAAAAUACAGCCCUGUGAAGUUCACAAAUUUUGUAUAGUGUAUUACGCGCGGUAGAAUAACCACUUUCGGCUCAAAAAUGGUUAUUUUUCCCGCGCGUAUAUAAUGCAAAUACAGUAGGCCUAUAUACAAAAUUUGCAAACUUCACAGGGCUACAUUUUCCUCAUUUUACAACAAUUCGCAACCAAACUUUGCAUGUUUACUCAUUUUAAGAUGCUCUUUCCAGGAAUCAUCCACUGAUUCUUACCCACGAUUUCGAAUAGAACAUAGAAUAAGAACUUCUGAUGCAUUUAUCUUGUGUUUGUGCUCUUUGUGUCAAAGCGAUGGAAUACAGUUGUAUUUCUAGUUUGGUUAACAUUUUUAAAUCAUUAAAAUGCUUAAUAUUAUGUUUUAUGUCCAGUCAGACAAAAUUUAACACUGCUUAUGUGCUGAUUGCGCAGAUCGUAUGGUGAUCUUUUCAAGCUUUUUGCGGCUUAUAAUAGACAAUUCCCAUUAUAGACUAAUUUUAAAAUUAGGCAAGGAAACUCAAAUAAAUCACCACAGCUAGAAAGAGCAUACUAAAAUUAGUAAAAUAACAAAGUUUGGUUGCGAAAUGUUGUAAAGUGAGGAAAAUGUAGCCUUGCAAAGUUCGCAAAUUUUGUAUGCUUUUGUAUUGCGUGCGGAAAUUCCUACCACAUUCCUGCCACAUUUAGGCCGAAAAUGUCGCACGCAAUACAAAAGUAUACAAAAUUUGCAAACUUUGCAAGGCUAUAUUUUCCACAUUUCGCAACCAAAUUUUGUCAUUUUACUAAUUUUAGUAUGCUCUUUCUAGCUGUGGUGAUUUAUUUGCAUCUCCUUGCCUAGUUUUAAAAUUAGUCUAUAAUGGGAAUUGUCUAUUGGUCGUUAAUUUGCUUUGAUUGCUCAUUAAUUCAUCAUGAGAACAAAUGAUCUAUGCAUAAUUACAUAUCCGUAUUUUUGUAGAUUUUGAAUAAUUUUUCAAAGGUAGGAGAAAUCACUACACGCUAUACCGUUUGCGGUUUGUGUUUCCACUUAGCCAAAAUUUAUGGUAAACUUUUUUAAAAUUUAGGCCGCCCCCCAAAUAAAAUAUGUUCCGCCGCCCCUGUUUAAACGCGAUCGUUUCAACGCGCGCGGAAUGGACCUUUAACCUUGUAACUAAAAUUUUGAUCUAGACAAGUCUAGAUAAAAAUUUCAUCACAGCUUGAAAGAGCAUCACAAAAUUAGUAAUAUUCCGAAGUUUCGUUGCGAAAUGUUGUAAAAUGCGGAUAAUAUAGCCUUGCGAAGUUUGCCGUUUUUCAGUCAUUUUGUAUUACGCACGGGAAAUUGAUGCCCCAACACCCGAUUUGGGUAUCAAUUUCCCGUUUGUAAUCUAAAAUGACUGAAAAUUGCAAACUUCGCAAGGCUAUAUUAUCCGCAUUUUACAACAUUUCGUAACGAAACUUUGGAAUAUUACUAAUUUCGUGAUGCUGUUUCAAGCUGUGAUGAAAUUUUUGUCUAGAUCAAAAUUUUAGUUAUAAGGUUAAAGGUCCAUUGAAACUGCGCGAAAAUGUAUCUGGGGUGCGCGAAAUUAACCCAACCAACGCACUUUAAAUCGCACACAAAACUAAAAGCAUGCCCUGUUUAUUGAAUUAUUUAAUAAGACAACAAUUAAAUAAUGUGAACUUUUCUGUGCGUAUAAGGUAAUCCAAAAUCGUGCGACAUCUGUACAGACUACAGUACAUGACGUCUGCUUUAAUAAACCGAGUUCCUUUAGUUAAGAUGGCCUGAACUUUCAAAGCCUCGUCCAUUGCUAUCCCGAAGUAAUUGAAACUCGAAACAUGUUUGAGCGAGUUAUCGCCCAUCUUUAAUCUAAAUCAGCUUACAUUAUACUAGGAGAUAUACUUAUAGAUAUAUUAUUAUAUAUGUAGCUUAUAUACAUUAAAAAAACCCAACUACGAACUAUAAUUUUAUGUAUAUGAAAAACUUUAAUAAAAGGUUAAAAUUUACAAUGAAAGUAACAUGCCAAAACUAUACUGAUGCUCUUAAUGCAAUUAAUGCAGCACUUUUAAAAGCGUUUAUAUUCGUAGGUAUAGUUCGUUAGAAGGGAGAUUGUUCCAGGUUAUAAUAGGUCUUGGGAAGAAAGAACAUUACAUUUACAUUGCAAUUCUGAAAGCUUGGUAGUCCAGCUGAAGUAUAGCAAAUAUGAUAAACUAUGUAUUUUUCUUAUGUCCUAUUAUUUCAAACGUUGUUUAUGUUCACGCUGCAUGCCUACAGACAUAACACCACAAUGGUGUACCAGGUGCAGCUUUGCAUCAGUACAACAGUCUAAUAUUUUGUAUUUUCUUUCAGUGUUUGUUUGAGGUUAUAACACAAAGCAUGGAAAUGUCUGCCUACCAAUCUAUCCCAGAGUAUUACGCCGGCAAAUCUCUCUUCAUUACGGGAGGAACUGGAUUCCUAGGGAAAGUUCUGGUGGAAAAAUUGCUUCGCAGUUGUCCUGAUAUAAAGAAGAUAUAUUUGUUAGUGAGACCAAAACGUGAUGUCGGCAGCAAGGAGAGAGUGGAGAAAAUUCUUGAUUCUGAG